rnacentral:rRNA from 1 species
UACGUAGGGAGCAAGCGUUGUUCGGAUUUACUGGGCGUAAAGGGCGCGUAGGCGGCGCGGUAAGUCACUUGUGAAAUCUCUGAGCUUAACUCAGAACGGCCAAGUGAUACUGCAGUGCUAGAGUGCAGAAGGGGCAAUCGGAAUUCUUGGUGUAGCGGUGAAAUGCGUAGAUAUCAAGAGGAACACCUGAGGUGAAGACGGGUUGCUAGGCUGACACUGACGCUGAGGCGCGAAAGCUAGGGGAGCGAACGGG